UCCAAUAUGCAUAGACAAAAGACUUUAAAUUUAGCACAUAAGUCGACUGCAGAAAAGAUAACUUAUACAAGAAAAAAGAGUGCGUUUUGUGGGAAUGAAGUUGGUGGUAGAGAUAUUCACAGGACCUCUGUUCUAUGUGGAAGUAGAUGAAGGAUCUACUGUUGGCAGCUUAAAGAAAGAGAUUGGAAAUCAAGAAAAUCUUCCUAGCCACCGACUUAUUCUAAUUCUCAGUGCUGAUGAAUGUUCAUUGUUGGAUAAAGAGGAAGUUUGUCUUAAAGAAUGUGGAGUUCGCGAUGGCUCCCAUAUAUAUAUUUUGUUUGAACCCCAUGGAAACAACAUUCCUGGUUCUCCUUUAACUCCUCAAUGUGUUGUCUCAAACGAACCUUCGACCCCCAGCAAUGUCUCAUAUGGAUAUACAGACGAACAAUCCACCUCGAUUGAUCAUUCUCAUUAGCAUAAUGGGUGAUGCCAAAAUUAAAUCAUGACAGGUAUCUUGGUCAUAGGCAAAAUCAUGGGAAAUAUUGAUUAAUCAUAGUUAAUAUUUAAGUUUCUGCAACAGUUUUGUUUGACAGUGAUAGAUAAUAUUGAUUUGCCAUGAUUUUCAAGUUGUAGUGAUUUACAGUGUGGGUAAUAUUUCAUUA